GACAGAGGGUGCAAACGUUGUUCGGAAUUACUGGGCGUAAAGCGCGUGUAGGCUGUCUCGCAAGUCGGGUGUGAAAGCCCUGGGCUCAACCUAGGAAGUGCACUCGAAGCUGCGAGACUUGAGUCCUGGAGAGGAAGGCGGAAUUCUCGGUGUAGAGGUGAAAUUCGUAGAUAUCGAGAGGAACACCGGUGGCGAAGGCGGCCUUCUGGACAGUGACUGACGCUGAGACGCGAAAGCGUGGGGAGCAAACAGG
rnacentral:rRNA from 1 species